UCCGGGUUUCGCCCGGCAGUCUCCCUAGAAUAUUCAACUAAGGACAGGGGUUGCGCUCGUUGCGGGAGGUGCUCACUUUCGUGAGCAUUUCCUCUGCAUGUCAAACCCAGGUAAGGUUCUUCGCGUUGCCUCGAAUUAAACCACACGCUCCGCUGCUUGUGCGGGCCCCCGCCUAUUCCUUUGAGUUUUAACCUUGCGGCCGUAGUCCCCAGGCGGUGAACUUAAUGCGUUAGCUGCGGCACUGAUCGGGUCAAUCCGACCAACACCUAGUUCACAACGUUUAGGGCGUGGACUAC
rnacentral:misc_RNA from 1 species